rnacentral:rRNA from 1 species
CCUACGAGAGGCAGCAGUGGGGAAUCUUGCACAAUGGGGGAAACCCUGAUGCAGCGACGCCGCGUGAGUGAAGACGUAAUUCGUUACGUAACGCUCUAUCAGCAGGGAAGUAAAUGACGGUACCUGAGUAAGAAUCCCCGGCUAACUACGUGCCAGCAGCCGCGGUAAUACGUAGGGGGCAAGCGUUAUCCGGAUUUACUGGGUGUAAAGGGAGCGUAGACGGGUCGCCAAGACUGGAGUGAAAUGCCGCAGCUUAACUGCGGAACUGCUUUGGAAACUGGCGAAAUAGAGGGCGGGAGGGGUAAGCGGAAUUCCUGGUGUAGCGGUGAAAUGCGGAGAUAUUAGGAGGAACACCGGUGGCGAAGGCGGCUUACUGGACCGUAACUGACGUUGAGGCUCGAAAGCGUGGGGAGCAAACAGGAUUAGAUACCCGGGUAGUC